rnacentral:rRNA from 1 species
GGGCCCGCACAAGCGGUGGAGCAUGUGGUUUAAUUCGACGCAACGCGCAGAACCUUACCAGGGUUUGACAUCCUGUGCUCGGCUCAGAAAUGGGCUUUCCCCGCAAGGGGCGCAGAGACAGGUGCUGCAUGGCUGUCGUCAGCUCGUGUCGUGAGAUGUUGGGUUAAGUCCCGCAACGAGCGCAACCCUCGCCUUUAGUUGCCAUCAUUCAGUUGGGCACUCUAGAGGGACCGCCGGCGACAAGCCGGAGGAAGGUGGGGAUGACGUCAAGUCCUCAUGGCCCUUACACCCUGGGCUACACACGUGCUACAAUGACGGUGACAGUGAGCAGCUAGCGCGCGAGCGCAUGCUAAUCUCAAAAAACCGUCCCAGUUCAGAUUGCACUCUGCAACUCGGGUGCAUGAAGGCGGAAUCGCUAGUAAUCGCAGAACAGCAGGCUGCGGUGAAUACGUUCCCGGGCCUU